rnacentral:rRNA from 1 species
CCGGCUAACUACGUGCCAGCAGCCGCGGUAAUACGUAGGUCCCGAGCGUUGUCCGGAAUUAUUGGGCGUAAAGGGCUCGUAGGUGGUUGAUCGCGUCGGAAGUGUAAUCUUGGGGCUUAACCCUGAGCGUGCUUUCGAUACGGGUUGACUUGAGGAAGGUAGGGGAGAAUGGAAUUCCUGGUGGAGCGGUGGAAUGCGCAGAUAUCAGGAGGAACACCAGUGGCGAAGGCGGUUCUCUGGGCCUUUCCUGACGCUGAGGAGCGAAAGCGUGGGGAGCGAACAGGAUUAGAUACCCUGGUAGUCCACGCUGUAAACGAUGUCGAUUUGGAGGUUGUGCCCUUGAGGCGUGGCUUCCGGAGCUAACGCGUUAAAUCGACCGCCUGGGGAGUACGGCCGCAAGGUUAAAACUCAAAGAAAUUGACGGGGGCCCGCACAAGCGGUGGAGCAUGUG